rfam:Ovis aries breed Texel chromosome 10, whole genome shotgun sequence.
AAAAGGAGCCAUAAAAUUGAACUUCCCACUAGCCAUUCUUUCCCUUUUUGCUCUCUGCACACUUCAGCUGGGAAUCUUUAUGCAGGUAGUAGUUAUUUGACUUGUAUUAUUCUGGUUGUAAUAAAGUUAUAUCUAAGAAGCUAAGAGAGCUGACCAACUGAGAAGGGAAAGCAGUUUGUUCUGACCGUAAUGACAAAAGGAGUUCAAGGCACACCAAACAUUUUUCUCCCAUUUAGAAACAUUCUAGUAUUUAAGCUUAUAAAUACUUGGGCUUCCCAGGUGGCUCAGAUGGUAAAGUGUGUGCCAGCAAUGCGGGAGACCUGGGUUUGAC